UAAGCCAUGCGAGUCAUGGGGCGCCUUGCGCGCACCGGCGGACGGCUCAGUAACACGUCGGUAACCUACCCUCGGGAGGGGGAUAACCCCGGGAAACUGGGGCUAAUCCCCCAUAGGCCUGAGGUACUGGAAGGUCCUCAGGCCGAAAGGGGCUUCGGCCCGCCCGAGGAUGGGCCGGCGGCCGAUUAGGUAGUUGGUGGGGUAACGGCCCACCAAGCCGAAGAUCGGUACGGGCCAUGAGAGUGGGAGCCCGGAGAUGGACACUGAGACACGGGUCCAGGCCCUACGGGGCGCAGCAGGCGCGAAACCUCCGCAAUGCGGGAAACCGCGACGGGGGGACCCCCAGUGCCGUGGCAUCGCCACGGCUUUUCCGGAGUGUAAAGAGCUCCGGGAAUAAGGGCUGGGCAAGGCCGGUGGCAGCCGCCGCGGUAAUACCGGCGGCCCGAGUGGUGGCCGCUAUUAUUGGGCCUAAAGCGUCCGUAGCCGGGCCCGUAAGUCCCUGGCGAAAUCCCACGGCUCAACCGUGGGGCUUGCUGGGGAUACUGCGGGCCUUGGGACCGGGAGAGGCCGGGGGUACCCCUGGGGUAGGGGUGAAAUCCUAUAAUCCCAGGGGGACCGCCAGUGGCGAAGGCGCCCGGCUGGAACGGGUCCGACGGUGAGGGACGAAGGCCAGGGGAGCGAACCGGAUUAGAUACCCGGGUAGUCCUGGCUGUAAAGGAUGCGGGCUAGGUGUCGGGCGAGCUUCGAGCUCGCCCGGUGCCGAAGGGAAGCCGUUAAGCCCGCCGCCUGGGGAGUACGGCCGCAAGGCUGAAACUUAAAGGAAUUGGCGGGGGAGCACUACAAGGG
rnacentral:rRNA from 1 species